rnacentral:tRNA from 1 species
UAGGAACUUAGGCUAAACUUUAAACCGAGGGCCUUCAAAGCCCUAAAUAAGAGAUGUCCCUCUUAGUCCCUGC